GAGGAGUUAGUUAAAUAAUAACAUCAGAAUGUCAAACUGGAAUAAUCGGUAAAGAUACCCCUCU
rnacentral:tRNA from 1 species